AACAACAACAACAACAAAAAAAAAAACGACUAUGGGGCAAGGUGACAUAUUUUUCCUUUUUUUAAUAACAAAGCAAAAUUAAGCCAGGGGCAGUGGCACGUUCCUAUACUUCCAGCAACUUGGGAGGCUGAGAUGAGAGGAUCUAUUAUAAUAACUAUGUUAACAUCAGCAUUUACAUCUAGGCUCAACAUGAAAAGCAAAAAUAUACACUGAAUGGAAAAUUACUCAGGAGCCAAAGAACUAUUAGCCUACAUGAAAGGGAAGUCCAGAGAGUGGGUGAUGGCAGAGAAGGGAAGGGGUGAAAUACUUCUGUCCACAAAGGAGGGGCAGGAAGAAAGACUCUGGAGCCUUGGCCUGAGUAGGGGCAAGGCAGAGUCCUCCAAACAGCUUCCCGGAUGGCUCCCAUUCCUGCCCCACACCUAAGACACACAUGGAAACAGGAGCAGAGAGUUUGAAAAUUAUCUCACAAAAUAAACUGCCAGUUUAAGGUAGAAAACACUUAAAAGAAAAGAGGAUAUAGUAGUCUGGAAACUCUGUUGUCAGUUAUGUCAACAUACAGCAAAGAACUUCCAUAAUCUUACUUCUGCAAGUCACUCCCACACUUCUACAGGGCUCUACCACCAAAUAGUGGGAGCCAAGUGUUCUCUGGGUCAGGCCACAAACUGCCAGAGAAAACAGUUGUCCUAAACCUCCAGAGCAGAUAGAAAUUGCAGCAGCAGCCUCGUCACGCACAGCCCAAGGAAUGCUUCUUCACAGAAUCAGCUUUAUGCUUUCAACUGCCUCACUGAGGUAGGAUAAGAACUUAUAUGGUGGUCAGGAGGCAAUGAAGAUUUAUACACAAUCUAUGCUUCUAAUAUACUCCAAACUGACUCAAGUACUGUUUAAAAGCAAAGGAGGGUGUGUAGGAAGUUUGCGUGUAGGAAAACAAGGAAGCGUGCUCAUCUGUGUGAGCCAAAUGGUACACUUCUCUUGAGCAAAUCUUUUGGUUUGAGUGGGGAGAUUCUGAUUUGUGAUCUUUUCUCAAAAACAAAUUCCUACCAAGAUUUU